rnacentral:rRNA from 1 species
UCCUGGCUCAGGAUGAACGCUAGCUACAGGCUUAACACAUGCAAGUCGAGGGGCAGCGGAUUGAAGCUUGCUUCAAUUGCCGGCGACCGGNGCACGGGUGAGUAACGCGUAUCCAACCUUCCGUACACUCAGGGAUAGCCUUUCGAAAGAAAGAUUAAUACCUGAUGGUAUGAUGAGAUUGCAUGAUAGCAUCAUUAAAGAUUUAUCGGUGUACGAUGGGGAUGCGUUCCAUUAGGUAGUAGGCGGGGUAACGGCCCACCUAGCCAACGAUGGAUAGGGGUUCUGAGAGGAAGGUCCCCCACAUUGGAACUGAGACACGGUCCAAACUCCUACGGGAGGCAGCAGUGAGGAAUAUUGGUCAAUGGACGAGAGUCUGAACCAGCCAAGUAGCGUGAAGGAUGAAGGUCCUACGGAUUGUAAACUUCUUUUAUAAGGGAAUAAACCCUCCCACGUGUGGGAGCUUGUAUGUACCUUAUGAAUAAGCAUCGGCUAACUCCGUG